UAGGGAAUCUUCGGCAAUGGACGAAAGUCUGACCGAGCAACGCCGCGUGAGUGAAGAAGGUUUUCGGAUCGUAAAACUCUGUUGGUAGAGAAGAACGUUGGUGAGAGUGGAAAGCUCAUCAAGUGACGGUAACUACCCAGAAAGGGACGGCUAACUACGUGCCAGCAGCCGCGGUAAUACGUAGGUCCCGAGCGUUGUCCGGAUUUAUUGGGCGUAAAGCGAGCGCAGGUGGUUUAUUAAGUCUGGUGUAAAAGGCAGUGGCUCAACCAUUGUAUGCAUUGGAAACUGGUAGACUUGAGUGCAGGAGAGGAGAGUGGAAUUCCAUGUGUAGCGGUGAAAUGCGUAGAUAUAUGGAGGAACACCGGUGGCGAAAGCGGCUCUCUGGCCUGUAACUGACACUGAGGCUCGAAAGCGUGGGGAGCAAACAGGAUUAGAUACCCUGGUAGUCCACGC
rnacentral:rRNA from 1 species